UGUUUCUAAUUUAAAUUAAAAAUAUAUUGAAAAAAUCUGUGUCCCUAGUACCUAUGUUUUUUUUUUUUUUGAAAAGCUAGAAAGAGCAGCUGGUGUUUUUGCAGCAUGUUCUCUCCUUCCCUCCCGUAUCUGACCUAGAUGGAACUAUUCACUCAUUAUAGAAAAGGCAUUCCUAUUCUGUGGCAGAAGAAAUGUUGAUGGCCCACACGAUACCGUGGGCCCCCACGGUGACUCUACCUACAAAGAUGUCCCUGAAUGCUGAAGAGGAGGCCAAGGGCUCUGCAGAGCAGAAUGUAGGAGAAAAUUUGGCUUUGACUUGCAAUUCACUGAAGAAAGGGAAACUUGACUUGGGGUUCCUGUUAGAACAUCUGGUUGUCACCUGUUGAAGCUGCUGCUGGUCCCCUAAAUGCCCUUCAGCCAGAGAACACAGGACACUGAAGAAUGCUAUUCCAGAGGAUGGGAAAUAUGUGAAACCCCACAGGUGCCCACUGUUCUAAAAGACAUCAAACAAGAUGGUGAGAUUCUUACCUUCAAGCAACUUGUCUUUCAGUGAUUUUUCUACACAUGGAGCUUGGCUUUCUAACAAGGAUCUCCAGUGUUUACGAAGAGCGCCUUGGCCUGGCUGCCCCAUUUAGGGCUUUUGUCCUUUCUCACGCCCCCUCUGGAUUCCUGCCAUGCAGCCUGGAAGACCGGCCAUAGACACUGGAAGCUGUAGAAACACAAUACUUCUUCUGAUGCUCACUGGACACUGGGAGGUACACUCUAUACUGCUCUGUGCUGGGUCCCACGACGGAGAUCAUUUCACUCUCCAUGACUCUAGCCACUGUACCUUAAAGGCAUCAAGCAAGCCCUUUCCUUGAUUUCUCUGCCUGCAAGAAAGUGGCAGAGAUAGAGUGUAGAGAGAAGACUUUUCCUUGCCAGCCGCUUUGGUUUUUCCCCCACCAGUUGCCUGGGCUCUGCAGCGUUGUAGUCCCCAAAUAACACACAAGACGCUGUA